rnacentral:rRNA from 1 species
AUUGAACGCUGGCGGCAUGCUUUACACAUGCAAGUCGAACGUGAAAGUCCUUCGGGAUGAGUAAAGUGGCGCACGGGUGAGUAACGCGUGGGAACAUGCCCUUCAGUACGGGAUAACAGCGGGAAACUGCUGCUAAUACCGUAUAUUCCCUACGGGGGAAAGAUUUAUCGCUGAAGGAUUGGCCCGCGUUAGAUUAGCUAGUUGGUGAGGUAAUGGCUCACCAAGGCUACGAUCUAUAGCCGGUCUGAGAGGACGAUCGGCCACACUGGAACUGAGACACGGUCCAGACUCCUACGGGAGGCAGCAGUGGGGAAUAUUGGACAAUGGGCGAAAGCCUGAUCCAGCCAUGCCGCGUGAGUGAUGAAGGCCUUAGGGUUGUAAAGCUCUUUUGGCGGGGAAGAUAAUGACGGUACCCGCAGAAUAAGCCCCGGCUAACUUCGUGCCAGCCGCCGCCGUAA